GUUCUAUUCUCUUCCUUUAAAUGCAAAUUACAUCAUUUUUUUAUUUCAAUUAUUGCUGUGUUGUUACAAUUCUUGAGUGAUUGCUGAUAGGAUUAGGAUUAGGAAUAGGAAUUCAACUAUUAAAUAGAAAGUUGGGGUUUGAUGAAAAAAGGGCAAAUUGCACUGACACCCCUGAGGUUUAUCAUUCUUGCACUGACAUCGUCUCUAUUAUUUAACAAGACACUAACAACCCUUAUUUUAUUGCGAACAUUGUACUAACCUUCCCUGAGGUUUAUCAUUAUUGCAUUGACCUCCCCUCGGAUUUAUCAUUAUAACACUCUCUACCCUUCUAUUCUAAAUGAUAUAUGGUAGGGUUUAAUAAUUUGAACAUGUGUUGAGACAAACCGUGUAAGCAUCAGAGUCAAUAGUUAGGGAUAAAAGCAGAACAAGGAAAACUACAGGUAAAAAUUGAGGCUUGUUAUAGACUGUACAUAGUUAUUGGCUGUGUCUAAGAAAUAAAAAGUAAAAGAUAUUCUAUUCAUACCAUCUUUCUAGUCUCUACAUUUAUAGACCAUCACUACAAUCAGGGAAUGCAGCUGUGCAGGAAGUGCAAUCUAAUCAGUAGUCAUGUAGGUUGGUAAGAAUUCAUUGAACUUGGGGAGAGUUCUUGGGAUCUUAACCAAAAAUUACUUUUGAGGCAUUUCAUUAGUUUCAAUUAGAAAUUAUCUGGUGAGUGGUGACUAAUUCUUUGAGCAAAUGGUAAGAUGUUAACAGAAGUUACAGAACUAUGAAUACCAGCAAUAUUCUUCAAGUCCCUAUUUGAAAUGUUGACCCUGAUUCUCCACUCUAAACUUCAUAUUCUGUCUGCCAUUGUGAGAUGCUGCUUCCUUGUGAUAUGACUAACAGACC